rnacentral:rRNA from 1 species
CGGCGGGCCUGUCCCGUCUCCCCGUUCCCCGUCCCCACGAACAAAACCCCGGCGCAAGAUGCGCCAAGGAAUCGCAACGAGAAAAGGAACGUGCCCCCGUUGUGCGCCGGGAACGGAAUGCGCACGGGAGGCCUCGUAUUCUUUGAAAACAAAACGACUCUCGGCAACGGAUAUCUCGGCUCUCGCAUCGAUGAAGAACGUAGCGAAAUGCGAUACUUGGUGUGAAUUGCAGAAUCCCGUGAACCAUCGAGUCUUUGAACGCAAGUUGCGCCCGAAGCCUUCGGGCYGAGGGCACGUCUGCCUGGGUGUCAUGCACCGUCGCCCCCAUCCCCGCUCCCCUGAGGGGAGYGGGGAAGCGCGGGGCGGACAAUGGCCUCCCGUGCGCUCUCGCUCGCGGUUGGCCUAAAUCCGAGUUGUUGGCGGCGAGCGCCACGGCAAGCGGUGGUUGGAAAGACCCUCUGAAGUGUCG